UUGUAGGCAAUUAAGCCGACUGUCCUCUUUUCCCCGUGGGAGCCUGGCGUGCAAUGGCUACAGACAGCAACCUCCUUGACAAUGUAUUCAGCCUGUUGCCUGUAUGGGUUGCCCUAAGGCACCUUGUAGACAGCC
ensembl:snoRNA SNORA70 Small nucleolar RNA SNORA70